AACAUUGUCCAUGUAAAUUAGCACUGUCCAAACAUUUUCCAGCACCGUCCAAACAUUGUCCAUGUAAAUCAACGAUUACAAAUCGUUGGUUAGUCACUCAAGCACGAUCUUGUGCUUGUGGCCCAUCCGAGACUUGGAAUUUCAUCAUUUUCUGGCAAAGUAUAUAUUUCAGCGGGCUUAUCACAACCAUUGUGUCAAAAAUUACAUAUCUCACUAAUUAGAGAUAUUAAAGUUGAUUUGGUAAGUAAAUUCAAACCCCUGUAAAUAUACCAUGCAUAGCUACUUUUGGAUUAAAGUUGAUUCACACUCCAAGGUGCCAAACACACUGGGAGGAUUUCAAAUCUAAGGGGUUUCAAAUCCUGGGGGUUCCAAAUCCACGCUCCCAACAGGCCCUAAGAAUGAUUGGGUCCUCUGCAUUGGACUGAUCCGAUUGACUAUGAAGAACUCUGGGCAAGACCAGCAUUGGGUGCAAAGCAUCUCAUGUAGUUCCAACUAUUGUCGAUCGUCCAUGUUUGACUUUGGUCGACCGUUUAAGUUUGGGAUAGCCGACCCAAAGCAGACUAUUCACUUACACGAUUUGCAGGACUUGACCCAUCACAAUAACAAUUUAGCUUAACAAUACACGAUAAUAAUCACAAAACAAUUUAAUAUCACAACAGAGUAUAUCAAUUUAAUACCUAUACGAAUCAGCACAAUCCAAUGUAUAUUGACACAAUCCCACGUAUAUAUCAAUAAUCACAUAUUCAUACCCCACCCGGUAUAUCAAUAGAGUCCCACAUAUAUCAAUAACUCAUAUUAAUACCCCACCAGGGUAUAUCAAUAACUCAGAUUAAUACCCCACUAGGGUAUAUCAAUAGAACACAUAUAUGAACCAUUACAAUCCAUUGUGUAUUAAUACAAACCAAUGUCCAUCAAUAACGCUUAUCAAAUGGCCUAAAAUGGUUCUAACAGUAGGAAUUUCAUAUUGAUUAAGCAUUUCAUCAAACAUGUUGCCUACCAAUUACAGGUAACAUUAGGGUUGUAAUUAUAAAGCAAUUCAAGCACAAAUAGCAUAUGAAAUCUUAUAGACAACAAAAAAUCAUUAUCUAACACCAUCAAGGAUUGAUAAAAUGAAACUUAGAAGAGUAGUCCGCUCCUUAGUAGAGAAAUUUAUCAAUCUUCGGGUACCUAGGGUUUUACAGUUUUAGGGAAAAGCCAACUCCUAAAUCAAAUCGAAAGGGAUAGUGUAAGAUUCAUGGAAUUUGGUGCUAAAGGGUUUUGAAAUUGAAAGGUAGGAUUCAUUUCAAACCUCCAAUUCUAAAAAGUGGUGUGUCCGACGAACAGUGGAUCUGGUGAUCCAUGGCCUGAGCUGGGUGUUUAGAUGAUAAACCGUCAAACUAGCAUCACGUACCUGAUGGACAGUGGAUUUGGUGAUCCAUGGCCUGAGUUUAAUUGAGUUUGAAUUUUCAGAAAUGAGGUUCCACACAUACUUUCUAAGCGUUUUGAGUUUUAAUUUGGGUGCGUGCACAUAUGUUUACCUAAUUAAUCAGAAAAAUUCCUAGUGACACCCGAGUACAUCUAAUACUCGAGUAUUGAAAAAUCCAGGACGUUACAGUUAAUUAGGCACGCCUAGAGGAUUUCUGAGCCAUGCAUCAGGUUGCCUUACUGUGUAUAUGCCCUGGCAAAGAAUCAGGCUGGUUAAUGCAUCAGGUGGACCACACCUCUAUGAAAAGACAAGUGGAACAGUUCCCAUUCAACAUAGACUCCUCUGAUUUUUGGGAUGGGUCAUCUUACAUGGUUGGGCUAAAUGUGGGUGUGGGUAUAUUAUGUAUUGUAUUAUACGUUCCAUAUAGAAUCUAUUGGAUGUUAAAUGUUCGUUUUUUCCCUAAAUAUAUAUAUUUUUUUCUUUUUUUCAAGAGUAACGGACAUUUUAUUAAGAGAGCAUUGAGAUGGCAGAAGAAUCAAUUACAACCGAAGCAAAAAGGAGAAAUUACAAUCUUCCAAGGAUUUCCCUUCAAGCUCUUUGAGAAUUACCCGAUUUGAGUUGUGAGUAAGAUUUGAUACAAGAAGCCCAUUCCACCACAAGAAGCUUGAUUUUGGAGACGACUUCUUCUGCCUUGAUGGACUCAUUUCGGAAGCAACUUCCGAACCUUUUCCCCCAGACCAUAAAGAAGCCAAUUAGGUCAACCUCCAAAUUGCUCUAACCUUCCUUUGUAGCCGAAAUCCAUGCCACGGCAAAAACAACUCUCCAACCGACUUUGGCAUGACCCAAGGAGUAUCAAAGAGGCCAAGGAAACAGCUCCAAACUUCUUUUGCUUGCGAGCAAUGGAUGACACCUUUUCAUGGCGAUUCUUGUGCUCUCAACAAUGUUUUCUCCAAGGCUACCACUGAAUCCUGCCCAUGGAGGCUUGCUGAGUUGGGGGAAGUUUGGGAUGUCAGUAGGGGCAAUCUGGUCAAUUAAAUUAAUUUCUAGAGAGGAGUAUGAAGAGGCUGACCUUCUUGCCAAGAUGGGAACCACUAGCUCUUGCCUUCAUAUCACUGGCAUUAGGACUCAUCAGUCAUCAUCAUCUUCAUCUAAGCCUUGUCCCAACUAAUUGGGGUCAGCUGCAUGAAUCCUGUUUUGCCAUUCCACAAUAAAGGAAUAUCAUUGAAGCUAGAACUGUGGUCUGGAUUCAUCCUGCUGCUUUUGUGUUUUUUUGGGAUUGGCUGCUGUUUAUAUCUAUCUUGGAUCCGGCUGUUUUUUCCUUCUUAGCUGAGUAUCUGUAGUGGGUUACUCUUGUGCUCUAUUUGUAUUUUCUUAUUCUCCUCUUUGCUGUAAUAAAAUUUGUAGAUUACCCAUAAAAGAAAAUUAUCUCAAUGGUUGAAGAGGUCUUUUUCAUGGUCAGUUAGGUGAUGUGGUUACUGCAACAUCCUUGCCAAGAUAAUUUUAGAUGAGGCAGAAGCUCUGGCCCAAGGUGCACCAUUUGGGAUUUUUUAUUUAUAUUGGGGAGGUUGAGCUUUCUAAUAUCAUCUGUUGGGUCAGUGGUUAGUUGAUACCUUCAGGAGAAGAUUCACUAGUUUGACAAGGAGUUUCUCAGAUUGAGGAGGAAUUCCAUGGGAAAUGGAGAACCUGGAGAAUGAAAACAGAAUUUUAGACUUUCAUUUCAGCAUAUCCACCAAACAAACUUUUAAUGCCUGCUCUGGAGCUCUCUAGGAACGGAAAAUCCACGGAAUGAAUUCCCCAACAACCAAACAACCCCUUAGUAUUUAAGAAUGCAGGUAACUUAUUUCUUCUUCUUGAUUCAGUUGCAGACAUGGGUGUAGUCGAGGUGGUGACUGAUAGUGCAGCUGCAGAUGCAGAAGAUGCAGGAAAAUUUUGAUGAAGAAGAUAAUAAAUAUAUUGUUCAACAUGUGCAUGCCAUUUUUUGGAUCCUAUUUUCAAAGCUACUGAAAUGCUACCUAUUCACUCCGACAUGGUUGUAAAGGCAAGGGUGAUUAGAGCUGUACAUGAACCGAGUUAGCUCGGUUAACUCGCUCAACUAGGCCCGAAACUGGGUUCGAGUUGAGUUGAGCUCGAAAAAAUUUUGAGCCGAGUCCAAGUUAGACUUGACUCCGCUCGGAACUUGACUCAGUUCGAAUCGAUUCGACUCGGAUCGGGUUUACUUAAUAUAAAUAUUUCGUGUGUGUGUGUGUGUGUAUUAAAAACCCUAAAACCUAAACUCGAACCCAGGUUGUAGGCUCGAACUCGAACUUGGCUCAAAAGAUUGGGCUUGAGCUGGCCCGAGCUGCUGACCGAGCCGAGCCAAGCUGGCCAGUCAGGCUCGAGGACCGAGCAAGCUGAGUUUGAGCUGGGGUAGCCCGUUGGCUGAGCCGAGGUAGGCCAAGCUUGACUUGGUUCCGCUCAUGUACAGCUCUGGGUGAUAAUUGUGUAUAUCAGCAAGCAUUCUUUGAUUUUAAAUCUCAUGCAGAUGCACACUAGGAGGAAAGAAUUGACAUGAUCUGCAGCUCUGCUGUUACAUGCUCUGUUUCUUGGAUGAUGCACAAUCGAAAUUGAAAGUGUUUGGAUCUGAAGAAUGACAAAUACAUACUGCAAAGAAAUCAGAACAGUUAAAAUAUCACAAUAUCAUGCUGUCAGAUGCAUAUUUUUUGGGCGUUCAUCAAGUAUUUCAUGAGUUGUAGUACAAGUGGAUUUGGAUGGAAGGCCACCCAUGGCUAUAUAUUUGAUUUGGAUGGAAGGACGGUCAUGGGCUAUGUGGAUGAAGUGAUGGCCAAGCAAAGGAAGAAAAUGGUAUGGUAUGUGCCUACUUGGAGGAUAACUGGGUGGCUUUUUUUACUUCUUUUUUCUUUUAUCUUUUUAAACUUGUGCUUCCAUUAAGAUGGUAUGUGCCUACUUGGAAAUGAAAGAAUGGGUCGAAUUUCUGGAGAAGAGGUUAAGACUGACCGAUGGACAUGAUUAAGAAUGCGGAAGGAUUAUUAGUUGGAGGAGCCAUGUCAAAGAUUAGAAGGAAAGCAAAGCAGAAAAUUUUAUAUGUAGAGCUCUAUGGUGUCUUUCCGGGGAAAAAAAGAAAAGUAUAGAGGUUUAUGGUGGAAGUCCUCGUGAAAAGUUGAUGAUUUUUAGAAAGAGUCUUACAUGUAAUGCUGCUAUUGUAAAUUAAUGCAAGGGUAUUUUCACACUGGGCUCGAGUGGGGUGACCCAUGGGAUGUAGGGGCACACUCGGGGUGGGCGGCCCGUGUGAAGCGGGCCCCACUUGUGUGAAAUGGGUGGCUUGUGUAAAGCGGAACCCAUGUAAAGUGGGGCCCACGAGGGGGGUUUGGUCGAGGUCUUAACCCAUAGGAUGUGGGGCAUGUGCUAUGAGAUAAAGGGAUUGAUUCAUCAUGCUCUAUCAGUUCGAGCUUUUAUAGCAAGUGGUUAAUUGUCUUGCAUCAAAUUAGUAUCGGAGUGGGAGAGUUAAUCCAUUUAUCUCAUAGCUCAGGCUCCACAUCCCAUGAGUUAUGACUCACACGAGCCACCCGCUUCAUAUGGGUGGGGCCCGCCUCA